rnacentral:lncRNA from 1 species
UUUGUGUCUGAGUCCUUCAUGAAAGUUAUAGGUCUACUUCUUAGCUUUCCAACCCAUCCUCUUGUGUCCAAUUUGGAUAUAUAUAGUUCAACUUAUGGCUGAAAAACCCAAACUGACUCUGUUAUGACGGGCUACAUGCAUCACUGAAUUGAGUGCCCAUUUUGACCACUAUAAUGGUAAUAUUAUGUUCUGAGUUCUUCAUAACAGUUGUUUCCCUGUGUCUUGAGACUUCUCUGGUUUUGGAUUGGUUUGAUUUGAGUGUCUGGAUAAGUAGGAAUUGGAUAAACAUUGGAAUUAGUGCUGCUGAAUCAGGUCUGGACUAUUGGUCUGUGUUGGUGUUGGAUUGGUUUAAUUUCAGUGUCUGGUUACGGAGAAAUUCAAUAAACAUUGGACUUGGUUCUGCUGAAUCCGGUCUGGACUAUCAGUCUGUGUUCCUAGCUUAUUUUGCCUAUCUUGCAGAUUUAUCUGGGUUAUGGUCCCUUCAUAACAUUUGUAGUAUUUUGUCUUAGCUUUCUAAUGAAUCAAACAUCACUCAAUUUGGAGACACAGAACUUAAGUUAUGUCUUAAAAACCCAGCAAAGGUCAAGAUUAUAUUAAUGCUGGAAAUUUUCUAUGUCCUAAAUCAAAGGGUUAUUUGGAUAAAAGUAUGUAUAAAUCAUGUGUGAUGAAGUGCUCUUGAUUAUUUGUAUGUUUUAGAAUUUAUUUGACAAAAAUAAAACAUAAGUGUGAGAAGGGUUGUUGUGG